CUUCACGGUCCGGAGGGACCAGAGGGCUCUGAGGAGCAGGAGAACGAUGAAGAAAGUGAGAGUGCAGAGGAAGAAGAAAGACCAAACAAAGAUGAGGGAGAUGGAGCGUUACGCGAUUCAGCAUUUGCCAUUGCCAGGUCUUCAACGGGGAUGGACAGGAGAGGAAAUGGCCACUCAUCAAUCAAAUCCGACCAAAGGAAUAAGAGGGAGAGUUGCAGGACAGUAGGGCCCUGGGAGCUGAGCAGAAGAAGCACAGACAUAGUAUUCACCACUUUGCAUCUUUUACCCAGGUCAGAGGGAGAGCAAUGCAGGCCCUCUGCCAGCAGCUUACCAUGGCUACUGACAGGACAACAAGCUCACGGCCCAGUUUUAGCUGAAGCUCGAAAGGAGAGAUUUACACAUCUGACUGAAUUGGUACAAAAAUCUGGAAGUGACAGCAGCAUUUUGCAGAGUCCCAGUCUCACACCCAAACCCAGACCUCCUGGGAGACGUUCAGGUCCUGCGGGUCGGAACGUAGCCUCUUGUCACCGUUCAAGAAUUAGACCACACACUGGUGUCAGGUCUCCGAUGUACAAUUCUUCUCCCCUUCUGAGCCGUGGACAGCAAGUUCAGAUGUUAUGCCCUUCCUUCCACCCAGGACCACAAGUCAGAACCUCUCUUUCUCCACCUCCUUCCUCUUCUGAACUAUUGAGGUACUGUCCUACACACAGAAGAGCGGUGUCUUCCUUUGGCACCUCUCGGAAGGAUCUAUAAGAAUACACACAGUGGACUUAUAAAAUGUAUCUGAUGGUUUGAUGUUUGAAAUGUGUAUACUUACCCUUUUAUGUUAUAUGCACUAUUUAAAAUCAAAUAUGUUCACUCUAUUAUUUACUUAAUAAUGCUUUUCUGAAGACCACAUACAGAGCGUAAUACUUCUGGGUCCGAGGUGACUGACAAACAGCCUCUUUUGCUCAGUAAGAGCUAUCUUAAACAGACUCCAGAUCAGCAUUAAUGGGCUCACUUUACCCCACACUGUCAUUUGGCAAAUACACACAUCUUACAAACAAUCUCAAUGAACAGCACUCAUGAACCUUGACCUCAUCUGAAAGCAUUAGACUUUGGUCUUACAGUCAAAGCCGCGUGUAGGAGCUGCAGAGUCUUUGAAUCAGCACAUUUGAACAGAACGUACUACUGAGCCACAUUCAUUUUAAUACUUACAGUAUGUUGUUUAUUAAAGACAAAACGCCCUCUCAGAUCUUGGCCUCUUGUAAGACAUUUCACGGUGGAGUGUUUUCAUGGCUGCCUCUGCAGUAUGAGUCACAUGUGCAUGCUACUAUGGCUCUUUUGAGUUUGAAGAAAUGUAAUUCUUGCAGAGAUAAUGCUAACAGGUGAGGUUUGUCAGGUUAAAGUAGGGUUAUUACAGGAAACAGAACUUCCUUUGAGUCUGCUUUGCUUUGUUUUUUUAUGUUUCCUAGAGAAAGGUCCUUCGUUAGCCUUGCACUGUAUGCAAACUGUUUCUUCAUUGUGGGGCUCACAACCACAUGGUAAUUCCUCUUUCAUUAUAAGUGGUGCAUGUGAUGUUUUUUUCUCAAUAUCUACAGUACAUUUAACAAAAAUGACACUUGCAGCACUGUGUAACAUGUUGGGUUGGACACAUGGACUACAGAAAUGUAGUACAAUUAUUUACUAAUAUUUUUUAUAUUAAUAUUGCUUUUUAAUACCACUAGUAAUCUAGUUAUAACUAAUAUUUAAUCACUUUAACCAAUGAUUUAUAUGAUGAUAAAGUUUCAAACCCUGUAUGUGUAAGUUAUGAGUCAUGUUGAAAUAUUGAAUGGAUGUUAUUUCGGUUUGCUUUCAUCACCUAAAUUGUCUUUUCCCUUGAACAAAAAUACAUGUAGACAAUAAGGCUAUUUAUUACCUUGGUCCCAGUGUUUAAAGGUAAAAAAGGAUGCUGAAGUUGAUUUUGUGAACCUUAAAAAGAAUAUUGAAUUGCUGCUCCAGGAGAGUGAUGAGUAAAAAAAAAACAAAGUGCUUUUGAAAUGAGCCUUUGAUUUGCUUUCGUGAUUAAAACUCCCAACACUGACUAGAUACAGGCAUGCAAUACUGAUGGCAUUGAGACAUCCGCUCUCAUCUCACCCCGUCCUCUCCUGCACUCCCUAUGGUUUGUUUUGGUGUGUGUGAGUAAGUGUUGGUUGUGUGUAUCACGUCUUUGCCCUGCGAGACUCCUGCCAAUCGAUUCAAGGUGAGACCUGUCGAUUAAACACCCUGAGCCGUGCUCUCUACCUAACCCCAGGGUGAUUCAAUCCCACCCCUUACACACACAUGCACACACCCGUACACAAACACACGCACGCGCACACACCCACCUCACCUGUCAUCCAUCAAUAUCUCCAUCUGGGCCUCUAUUGAUCCCCUCCAUCCAGCCUCUUCACCCCAUGCAGUACAACAUCAGGGCCAAGACGCCGUCCACACAGGUUUAAUUUCUGACAGAUUUACAAUAAAGCUCAAGUUAUUAUUUAACUCUUCCGGCCGCAGUGUGCUCUUUGAUUUAGCACCCUGGGAGAGGAUGAGUUACAGCUGACACGGAGAAUCUGCCGGGGCUGGAAUGGUAGGCACCCGGUUCAUAACUCAGACGCCGAAUGUGUAGUUAGUCAAUCACUUGAUCUGUAAUCACAAAUGCUGCCAGAAAUUACAUGAGUGAUGAGCUGUAAUAAAAGCACUUACUUUUCCUGCU
ensembl:lncRNA